rnacentral:rRNA from 1 species
GGGUUGUGAGGUUAAGCGACUAAGCGUACACGGUGGAUGCCCUGGCAGUCAGAGGCGAUGAAGGGCGUGCUAAUCUGCGAUAAGCGCCGGUAAGGUGAUAUGAACCGUUAUAACCGGCGAUACCCGAAUGGGGAAACCCAGUGUGAUUCGUCACACUAUCAUUAACUGAAUCCAUAGGUUAAUGAGGCGAACCGGGGGAACUGAAACAUCUAAGUACCCCGAGGAAAAGAAAUCAACCGAGAUUCCCCCAGUAGCGGCGAGCGAACGGGGAGGAGCCCAGAGCCUGAAUCAGCAUGUGUGUUAGUGGAAGCGUCUGGAAAGGCGCGCGAUACAGGGUGACAGCCCCGUACACAAAAGCGCAUAUGCUGUGAGCUCGAUGAGUAGGGCGGGACACGUGGUAUCCUGUCUGAAUAUGGGGGGACCAUCCUCCAAGGCUAAAUACUCCUGACUGACCGAUAGUGAACCAGUACCGUGAGGGAAAGGCGAAAAGAACCCCGGCGAGGGGAGUGAAAAAGAACCUGAAACCGUGUACGUACAAGCAGUGGGAGCCCCACCACUAAGCCAGUGGUGAACUCCACAUACGCAUCCUUUGCUGAGGAUACGGUUAACGGAGCGAAAGCGACGUUCAACCUCAAAAGAAGCAGAGGGGGCUUAGUGGUGGGGUGACUGCGUACCUUUUGUAUAAUGGGUCAGCGACUUAUAUUCUGUAGCAAGGUUAACCGAAUAGGGGAGCCGGAGGGAAACCGAGUCUUAAUUGGGCGUUAAGUUGCAGGGUAUAGACCCGAAACCCGGUGAUCUAGCCAUGGGCAGGUUGAAGGUUGGGUAACACUAACUGGAGGACCGAACCGACUAAUGUUGAAAAAUUAGCGGAUGACCUGUGGCUGGGGGUGAAAGGCCAAUCAAACCGGGAGAUAGCUGGUUCUCCCCGAAAGCUAUUUAGGUAGCGCCUCGUGAACUCAUCUCCGGGGGUAGAGCACUGUUUCGGCUAGGGGGCCAUCCCGGCUUACCAACCCGAUGCAAACUGCGAAUACCGGAGAAUGUUAUCACGGGAGACACACGGCGGGUGCUAACGUCCGUCGUGAAGAGGGAAACAACCCAGACCGCCAGCUAAGGUCCCAAAGUCAUGGUUAAGUGGGAAACGAUGUGGGAAGGCCCAGACAGCCAGGAUGUUGGCUUAGAAGCAGCCAUCAUUUAAAGAAAGCGUAAUAGCUCACUGGUCGAGUCGGCCUGCGCGGAAGAUGUAACGGGGCUAAACCAUGCACCGAAGCUGCGGCAGCGACGCUGAUGCGUUGUUGGGUAGGGGAGCGUUCUGUAAGCCUGUGAAGGUGGCCUGUGAGGGUUGCUGGAGGUAUCAGAAGUGCGAAUGCUGACAUAAGUAACGAUAAAGCGGGUGAAAAGCCCGCUCGCCGGAAGACCAAGGGUUCCUGUCCAACGUUAAUCGGGGCAGGGUGAGUCGACCCCUAAGGCGAGGCCGAAAGGCGUAGUCGAUGGGAAACGGGUUAAUAUUCCCGUACUUGGUGUUACUGCGAAGGGGGGACGGAGAAGGCUAUGUUGGCCGGGCGACGGUUGUCCCGGUUUAAGCGUGUAGGCUGGUUUUCCAGGCAAAUCCGGAAAAUCAAGGCUGAGGCGUGAUGACGAGGCACUACGGUGCUGAAGCAACAAAUGCCCUGCUUCCAGGAAAAGCCUCUAAGCAUCAGGUAACAUCAAAUCGUACCCCAAACCGACACAGGUGGUCAGGUAGAGAAUACCAAGGCGCUUGAGAGAACUCGGGUGAAGGAACUAGGCAAAAUGGUGCCGUAACUUCGGGAGAAGGCACGCUGACAUGUAGGUGAAGUGAUUUACUCAUGGAGCUGAAGUCAGUCGAAGAUACCAGCUGGCUGCAACUGUUUAUUAAAAACACAGCACUGUGCAAACACGAAAGUGGACGUAUACGGUGUGACGCCUGCCCGGUGCCGGAAGGUUAAUUGAUGGGGUCAGCGCAAGCGAAGCUCCUGAUCGAAGCCCCGGUAAACGGCGGCCGUAACUAUAACGGUCCUAAGGUAGCGAAAUUCCUUGUCGGGUAAGUUCCGACCUGCACGAAUGGCGUAAUGAUGGCCAGGCUGUCUCCACCCGAGACUCAGUGAAAUUGAACUCGCUGUGAAGAUGCAGUGUACCCGCGGCAAGACGGAAAGACCCCGUGAACCUUUACUAUAGCUUGACACUGAACAUUGAGCCUUGAUGUGUAGGAUAGGUGGGAGGCUUUGAAGUGUGGACGCCAGUCUGCAUGGAGCCGACCUUGAAAUACCACCCUUUAAUGUUUGAUGUUCUAACGUGGACCCGUAAUCCGGGUUGCGGACAGUGUCUGGUGGGUAGUUUGACUGGGGCGGUCUCCUCCUAAAGAGUAACGGAGGAGCACGAAGGUUGGCUAAUCCUGGUCGGACAUCAGGAGGUUAGUGCAAUGGCAUAAGCCAGCUUGACUGCGAGCGUGACGGCGCGAGCAGGUGCGAAAGCAGGUCAUAGUGAUCCGGUGGUUCUGAAUGGAAGGGCCAUCGCUCAACGGAUAAAAGGUACUCCGGGGAUAACAGGCUGAUACCGCCCAAGAGUUCAUAUCGACGGCGGUGUUUGGCACCUCGAUGUCGGCUCAUCACAUCCUGGGGCUGAAGUAGGUCCCAAGGGUAUGGCUGUUCGCCAUUUAAAGUGGUACGCGAGCUGGGUUUAGAACGUCGUGAGACAGUUCGGUCCCUAUCUGCCGUGGGCGCUGGAGAACUGAGGGGGGCUGCUCCUAGUACGAGAGGACCGGAGUGGACGCAUCACUGGUGUUCGGGUUGUCAUGCCAAUGGCACUGCCCGGUAGCUAAAUGCGGAAGAGAUAAGUGCUGAAAGCAUCUAAGCACGAAACUUGCCCCGAGAUGAGUUCUCCCUGAGACUUAGAGUCUCCUGAAGGAACGUUGAAGACGACGACGUUGAUAGGCCGGGUGUGUAAGCGCAGCGAUGCGUUGAGCUAACCGGUACUAAUGAACCGUGAGGCUUAACCUUACAACGCCGAAG